AUAGGGAGAGAGCCUGUAGCUGUAUACUGGAACUCUCUAUUAUCGUGGGCUCUCUAUUAUCGAGGCACGAGAAAACAUCGGGAAAACAGAUACACCACGCCCCGCAUCAGCUGUUUACAUAUGCAAAUUACGUAAAUUAUAUUCAUCGCUCUUGAAAAAGUCAUCUAUUUCAUUGGAAUGUCAUGUCUAA